rnacentral:misc_RNA from 1 species
GGUCGGCAGUUUUCGCUUUUUUAUUUAUAUAUUCUCUUGUUUUCACUUUUUUUUUUGUUUUUCCGCCGCGGUUAGCCGGUCCAGAAAACUUUUCGACUUUCCACGCUCUUGUUUAAUGCCCAGCCAUAAUAUUUAACUGGCUGGGAGUGAGAGUUAAAACUUAACUGCCAGCAAAUAAACUUGAAAUUAAAUCAAUUUGCCCAAGGAGCGCGAUCCCCAAGUGAGCGAAUCCAGCAGAACCGUCAAUUAGCAAUGAGCGUGUUGUUCAAACGGGCCCUGUGAAUGGCCAAGAGCUUUGGUGUGGUUUUGGCCAAACGGGUAAGGAGCCCAGUUCCGCCGGCGACGGAAAUGGCUGCUUAAGUGGUGCGCAUCCGGCAGAGUCGAACCGAACCGGAACCGCAGCCGGAACCACCGGAAUAGCUAUAGCAACAACCCAGCUGAGACGCAGAGCACUCUCCACAUUAGAACGCAACAAAUAAAGCGAAAAAAGAUAAGGAUAAUGGCCAAUCUGAGCUGGAUGGCCACCACGCAACUACCAUCGGUGGUAACAACGGCCAACCUGAGCCUGACCACUCCGGGCAGCACGAGCGCCAGUUUGGCGGACGUGGCAUCCGCCUCCAUGGACGAGGACCGGACCGGCGGCAUCAUCCACAAUCAGUUCGUUCAGAUCUUCUUCUAUGUGUUGUAUGCCACGGUCUUUGUCCUGGGCGUCUUCGGCAAUGUCCUGGUGUGCUAUGUGGUCCUGCGGAACCGGGCCAUGCAAACGGUGACCAACAUAUUCAUUACCAACCUGGCAUUGUCGGACAUAUUGCUGUGCGUCCUGGCCGUUCCCUUCACGCCGCUCUACACGUUCAUGGGCCGCUGGGCCUUCGGGCGGACUCUCUGCCACCUGGUGUCCUUCGCCCAGGGCUGCAGCAUCUACAUAUCCACGCUGACCCUCACCUCCAUCGCCAUCGACCGGUACUUCGUGAUCAUCUACCCCUUCCAUCCGCGCAUGAAGCUCUCCACCUGCAUCGGGAUCAUCGUGAGCAUCUGGGUGAUAGCCCUCCUGGCCACCGUGCCCUACGGCAUGUACAUGAAGAUGACCAACGAGCUGGUGAACGGAACGCAGGGCGCCGGCAACGAGACUCUGGUGGACGCCACCCUGAUGGCCCUCAACGGCAGCUAUGUGCCGCAGGGGGGCCAGGGUAUGAUGGAGGCGCCGGAUGCCACCACCUCGGCUGCCCAGGCGUACAUGCAGGUGAUGACCGCCGGGACGGGGCCGGAGGAGCUGCCCUACGUCCGGGUGUACUGUGAGGAGAACUGGCCGUCGGAGCAGUACCGGAAGGUGUUCGGAGCCAUCACCACCACUUUGCAGUUCGUGCUGCCCUUCUUCAUCAUCUCCAUCUGCUAUGUGUGGAUCUCCGUGAAGCUGAACCAGAGGGCCCGGGCCAAGCCGGGCUCGAAGUCCUCGAGGCGGGAGGAGGCCGACCGGGACCGGAAGAAGCGCACCAACCGGAUGCUAAUCGCCAUGGUGGGCGUCUUCGGACUCAGCUGGCUGCCCAUCAACGUGGUCAACAUAUUCGACGACUUCGACGACAAGUCCAACGAGUGGCGCUUCUACAUCCUGUUCUUCUUCGUGGCCCACUCGAUCGCCAUGAGCUCUACCUGCUACAACCCCUUCCUCUACGCCUGGCUAAACGAGAACUUCCGCAAGGAGUUCAAGCACGUCCUGCCCUGCUUCAAUCCCUCCAACAACAACAUCAUCAACAUCACCCGCGGCUACAACCGCUCCGACCGCAACACCUGCGGCCCACGGCUGCACCACGGCAAGGGGGAGGGCGGCAGCUGUGGCGGCAGCUUAGACGCCGACGACCAGAACGAGAACGGCAUCACCCAGGAGACAUGCCUGCCCAAGGAGAAGCUGCUGAUAAUACCCCGGGAGCCCACCUACGGCAAUGGAACCGGCGCCGUCUCACCCAUCCUGAGCGGGCGUGGCAUCAACGCCGCCCUCGUCCACGGCGCCGGCGACCAUCAGAUGCACCAGCUCCAGCCGAAGCACCUGCAACAGGUGGAGCUAACGCGGCGCAUCCGGCGGCGGACCGACGAGACGGACGGGGGCGACUACCUGGAUUCCGGAGACGAGCAGACCGUGGAGGUGCGCUUCAGUGAGACGCCGUUCGUCAGCACGGACAACACCACCGGCAUCAGCAUCCUGGAGACCAGCACGAGUCACGGAGGCGACACGGAGUUGAUGCUGGAGCUGGCAGAUGCCAACGGCGGCGGAGGAGGUGCCGGAAGACGAGUCAACUGAGAUAGGAUUUUUGAAACGCAUUUCUAAGCAUUUCCGUGGACGGACUUUUAUUGAAUUUGGUUGGUAAUUCAAGACAACAUAAUGCUGGAACCCUAUUGUACGGAAAAAUGCUGAUAAAUGCCAAAUCGAGUGACAACGAUGUGAGAGGUGGUAAGGCAGAUUGUCUAGCAAUUGGCUGAAACAGCUACACAAGUCAUGGAUAUCAAAUAAGACUAGAGGACUACCACGCCCUAUCAUCGCAGCAUGUGUCGAAGGCCCUUGUCCCGCUGGCAUGCUUUGAUCAAAUAAAC